rnacentral:tRNA from 1 species
AGGGAUAUGGCUCAGUUGGUAGAGUGAUUGACUUGCAUACACAAGGCCCUGGGCUCAAUCCCCAGUACCACCA